AAGCCUGUGGGUCCAACACGCAGCACACCUUGUCACGGUGGCCCCCUGCCCUUGCCCCCCUGCCCCGAGAGUGCAUCCCUGGGCACCUGUGUGGGCCACUGUGGCUGCAGGGCCUGCUGGGGAGCUGGGUCAGGUGUCUGGGGAGGGGGGCAGGGAGGAGGCUGAUGCUGCCUGCAGAGAAGAGAGGUUUCAGGACCCCAAGAGACCUGCUAUGGGCAUGGAUGGGGGUGAGCCCAGCAGAGCAGGAGAGCCCUAGGGAGAGCUGGCCAGCACCUCUACAGGCUGCCAAGCUGUGGCUGGACACAAGGUCCAUCUCAGAACGUAAACCCCUGGACCCAGAGCCCUGGAGAGUCAGGCUUCUGGGGAGAGGGAGGGGGCGCUAUGGUUCAGACCAAAUGAACAGCUCAGAGUUCUAGGCCCAGGACACCAGCCACCCCAGGUCCCUGCCUGGCGAGGCAAGACUUUCCACAGGGAGAGAGAACCACCUCAACUGAGGCUCUGCUCUGUUCUCCAGGACCCCGACCAGCACCCCCGGGGAAGGCAGUGGACGUGUGGGCCCAGUACCUGCUUCGCCUGCUUCCAGGACUCCUCCCACUGCUUGAUGCCAGGAUGUUCCAGAAGCAAAUGAAUUUCAGACCAUCUGUCCUCAAGCAACACGAGUGCACCCACAUGACCACCGCUGUCCAUGUGGCGCUGUGAGGCUAUCUGCCUCGUCCCGGAGAGAGAACCUGGGACCAAUGCGCCAGCUCAACCCUGUCCAGCAGCAGGCUCUGCUCGUGCCUCUCCUCCCACUCAGGUGGCAUCUCCUCUCGUGGAAAGGAGCCCCUUCCUCAGGGAGCCAGAUCCAGACCAUGGCUCGGCGCCAGCAGGGACUGCUGAGCUCACCUUGUCUCCGUAAAACUGCUCGAUAACUACACGGGGAAAGGAAUGAGAGGCCAGCAAGUCGGACCACAGCUAAGACGCCUCCGGGACAUGUAACACCAAGCACCUGGCUGACGGCGGCGUCCACAUAAACUGUCAAGGUGCCUUGACAUCCACACGCGGCCCCAACCCCUGGAGACCGGGGAAGCGCCCAAACCUGGCCGGAAUGUCAAAGGGAGCCCGGAGGCUCAGGCUCAGGGUGACCAGGACGCCCAGCCGCCCUUGGGGGAGGGUAUUUCUGAUCUCCUUGCACAGCUGCUGGGGGAGGGAAAGAGCAGCAGCCAGGGGCGGGGGGGGGGCGCCUUACGCCCCGUUGGCUCAGGGAACAUCCGCGAGUGCGGGGCCAGCCAUUUUGGGGGAGCCUGCCAGUCUCCGUGUGGUGCUUCGAGCCCCUGGGCUCUGACGUGCCCUCUAGAACCCCCGUCCACACAGUUCUAGGGCUGUGUUCGGCAAACAGGCUUUGGGGCUCGAGCCGGGUCUCGGUGGUGCUUCUGCCUGCCGGGAAGGCCACCCUGUGCCGAGGGUGCGCCUGUUCAGGCUUAGCCUCCAGGAGCUUGGGGUGAAUGGCGGUUCCGAGGCCACGCUCCUCACUGGGCACUGGCCCUGUGCCUGGCACUUCAGUCAUUUCAUUUAAGCCUCGACCACCUUACGAGGUGGGCGCUGCCGUUCUACCCACGUACAGAGGAGGCUAAGGCCGAGAGGCUCAGUCACCUGGGCAGGUUCGCGCAGCUAAGAGAAUCGCCUCGCGACCAGAGCCCCUGCUCUCACCUCCACUCUGAACUGCUUCCAGCCGUGGACAAAGCGGCCACAGCGUGUUCCUAAAGCCCCGAUUCCUGCCCCAGGUCGCAGAGAGCCAAACCCCUCUUACCCAAAGAUCCAUGUGAUGCUGAGGUCCCCAAAAAUGUGUUUUCUGACUGGCUCAGGUGGCCCUGGGGCUGCUGCAGGAAAUGCGAGGAGAGGCUGACGGGAGGGGACGGGGAUGCGGAGUGGAAGGAGGCAGAGCUGCCCAGGGAGCCAGGGAUGUUCACGGGUGCGGAGCUCUGCAGCAAACUGCCGCCUGCGAGAGAGGCCCGAGGGCGGCCCAGUGAGGGCGGGGCAGGCCGCGUGGGGCCACGCUGAGCAGGGGACCGCUCUCUGCCAGCCUGGAGCCCAGGAGCCCUCCCCCGCCACCCCAGCCACCCACGGCCCGGUGAGUACCGACUGUGAUGCUGCCCGGGUGGGGCACGGUGCUGCUGUCGAAAGUCUUCUCUAAGGCGGCCACCCCGAACUCAUUCAGGUCCAGGUCAUCCAGGGCAGACUCUGGAGGCAGAGGGACGGGAGGAUGAGCUUCCCAGCCUCGCAAGGGGCCACACAGUCCCGAGGUGCCUCUCGGACCCACCCGCCCUCUACCGCCUCAUCUCUGGCCCCCGCUGCAUCUUCCAGCUCAGUCCCACCGGACCUGAGCUCUCUUGAGCCUCUGCCUGCACUGGGGCUGCUCCUCUGCCACCACUGCCCCCCGCCCUCUCCCACCCCCCCAGCCACGUCCGGCUCCAAUGGCUCUUCCUGAAACUUUCUCUGACCACCCCCCCCACACCCCAGGAACUGGGUCCUAAGCUGGGGUCCCUGCCUCUGACAGAGGUCUUGUCCCCUGAUGUUACCACUCGUGUGUUUCACCCCUGAGCUCACUGAGGGCAGGUAGGUCUCUGGGCCCUCAGUGGCUAGUGCAAAGCAGUUGCUCAACAAAUGCCCACUGUGCUCUGAUGAACUGGACUGGGAGGGCAGAAACAGUGUCCCUCCCCGAGGGCAGGAAGAGCAUGUCUUCAUUUCUGUCACCCCAGUGCCUCUGACAGGACCUGGUAGAAAGUGGCACCCAUAAGUGACUGCUGAAAGAGAAAGGCAGUGGCUUCUAAAGAGGACCCGAGGACAGCUGUGCGGGUUGCUCACUGCACAAGAAUACCUGUGGGGGCGGAACAGCGCAUGCUGUGGAGUAAGACUGCACGUACCCAUGGGAAGAGGCAUCCCUUUCUAAUCUGCGCACCAGAGCAAACCGGGGGGCUGACUUGCUGUACGAGGGCCGCUCCUGGCCUUAUACUUCGGGCUCAUUUUCCAUUUAGGUCAAAGGGCUCAAAGUGCCCUCAGGGACCCUCCCCAGACAGAUAGCUAAGGUGACCGUGUGCAGGUUUGAGUCUCACUCCAGAGACCGAGCGUCUCUGAUCCCAGCCCUGGUCCUAGACUUAGCGGCAGAAACGGCCCAGUUACCUAUGACCGACUCUACCGUGUCGCUGGCGGGGUAGAAGGGCAGAGCAUUUGCAUUCAUGCCAGGGACGCUGCUGGUGCCGGCGGGGCUAGGGGGAGUAGCUGCUAGGCUGGAUGUGAUACUAGAAGAGAUGCUUGAGGUCAGGGGGCUGCCCACAGGGAGGAUGCCCAGCAUGUCCUGCAACGAGAGAGGGAAGAGACGCGAUGGGGGCCGCCCGGAGUGGCAGGGGCUGGGGACGGGGCUAGCCGGGGCAGAAGGAAAGGGGGUGCCUCUGCUCCCAUCUGGUCGCCCCCGUGCCCAGGGAAGGGCCCGCUCACUCAACACCUUGUUGAGAGGCUGACAUUGCAGGGGUGUGGCUUGGAGGCUGCAGGGCCCACUCACCCCUAAAGUCCUGCAGUAGGGGAAGGGGGAUCAGUAUAGAUGCUCAAUAAAUACAUUUGUUUUUGUCUGGGCCUGUCCUGUCCACAGCAGGUGUCGGAAAGGGAGAAAGGGCCCAGGGUUCUAUACCUGUUUGGGCUGAAGCAGAGGCUGCUCUUGAUUCCUGGGCUCUAGUGAGUGGGGUUUUAACUUGGCCUGAGAGAAAAGUCAGGGAGCAGGAGGUGACUGUGGUGCUAGGGAGGGUCCCUGAGUCCCGCCAAGCAUCUGCUCGCUGUGCUCACUGAGGCUGCAGUGACCAGGGGGUAAGGAGGCAUCAGACACCUGCGGUGCAGCCCCCUUGACAUGCAUGCCCCCUCCUUCCCUAGCCCAGGAGCCAGGGGAGCUGCUCCUCUCUUCCUUGGUGACUCCAAGUCACAAAAAGCCCAGUUAGGGACCCCUUUUACGCUGUUCCAUCAAGGCAGCACAGGGCAGGGCAAAGACUAGAUGUGGCAGCAGAAGACUGAGGUAGGACCCCCUACCGCUCUACCGACUGGCUCUGCCCUGGCUGAGGUGCUCGGCCUCCUGCCUGUCUUCAUCUGUGAAAUGGGACGGCUGGGGACAGGGGCUUGCUAGGACAGUGCCGCACACAAGACAGCUGACCUCACUGGGCUGCCCCCCUCAUCCCUUACCUGGCACUUCAGAUUUUUCAGGUAUUCGGCUCCCACCUGGUCUUCCCUCUCAAAGCCAGGAGCCUUCUUAUAGCUGCCAGGGGCGAGGCCAGACUCCCCAGGAAAAACAAUGCCUUCCAGAUUUGGGGGCUUCCUGAUGGAGCCCGGUGGGGAGCCACAGAGGUUAGAUGGGCUCCCUAGGCUGCUGUUCCUACAGAGGAGCUGCACAGGAGGAGGAGGAGAGGCUGGUGGGCAAGGUGCAGGCUGGGGCACAGCCCACCCUCUAUCCCCUCCCCAGAGGGAGCCUCUUCAGCAAGAGGCUCGGUUCCAUUUUCAUCUGCCAGUGGGCAGCAACCACCACCCAGAAGCCUAGGACCUCCCGAGGGAACUGUGUCGGGCUGUUAGAUGGCGCUGUCCCUUCUACCUGCUCUAUCCAGGCUGAUCGUGGGCUCUGGAGACACCACCCCAGCCACUACCAGCUUUCAAUGAGAAGAGCCUUGGGGCAGAAAGGGCAGAGCCCCCUUGGCAGCGGCCUCUUCCCCGAGCAGAGAGGCAGGGAUUGGCUCUGGGCAGGCACGGUGCCCACCCACCCCCUGGACAGGCACGUACAGCACUGAGGUCAGGGGCAUGUGGGCUGGAGGGGCUCACGGGCACCGAGUCGCCGGCAGCAGACGGCAUGUACAAGACGGGACCCGGCUGGGUGGGGCUGGACACGGCUGAGGAAGGCUGCAGGUCGUCACCGAGGGCUGGCUCUGCGAAAGACAGGACGGAGGUCAGCAGGCUCCCGAGCCAGCUCUGUCCUCCAAAAGGGCAGCUGGCUGUCUUUCAAAGGAGGUCCCGCGACGCCUGUGCAGGAAGAGGAGACUCCCACCUCCUUUCUAACACUCUCUACCACGCACGUAGGACAGGCCGGGCAACGUGCAUGAACUGCCUGUCCACCUCCACAAAGACUGGAAGACGAGUCCUACCACGGUGUCCAUUUUAGAGAUAAGGAGACUGAGGCUCAGAGAGGGAAGGGAAAUCUCCCAAGUGGCUGAGCUAGGACGCAGAAGAGCUGGGGUCUGAAUCCCAGUCCCACAUGACUCCAAAGCCUGAGCCAUUAACAACUCUGUGCUGCCUCGGCUGGGCCCAUCUCUGAGCCAAGAGUAUGCACACCUCUCUCGCCCUGGGCCCUCAGCUUCUUUUUCACUCAAAUCCCAGAGAGAACGCCUGAGCCCAGAAAGAGGUUAAGAACAAACAGAGCAGUGGCCUGGGGUGGGCACAGGUUUUAACAUGAGGCCGGCUCUGCAGCUGCGCUGAGCACCCGGAACGUGGCCAGGCUGAACUGGAAUGUGCCACAGCUAGUCAAGUCCACAGCAGCUCUCAGACUAGGUUUGAAAGAAAGAUAAAAUACCUUGAUUUUAUAUUGAUUACCUUUUAAAUGAUAUUACUUUGACUUAAAUAAAAAUAUAUUAUUAAAAAAUUAAUUUAACCUAUUUAGAUAUGGUUACUAGAAAAUCUAAAAUGA